UGGGGAAUAUUGCACAAUGGGGGAAACCCUGAUGCAGCGACGCCGCGUGAACGAAGAAGGUAUUCGUAUCGUAAAGUUCUGUCCUAUGGGAAGGUAAUGACAGUACCAUAGAAGAAAGCUCCGGCUAAAUACGUGCCAGCAGCCGCGGUAAUACGUAUGGAGCGAGCGUUGUCCGGCAUUAUUGGGCGUAAAGGGUACGCAGGCGGUUUAAUAAGUCGAAUGUUAAAGAUCGGGGCUCAACCCCGCAAAGCAUUGGAAACUGAUAAACUUGAGUCAUGGAGAGGAAAGUGGAAUUCCUAGUGUAGUGGUGAAAUACGUAGAUAUUAGGAGGAAUACCAGUAGCGAAGGCGACUUUCUGGACACAAACUGACGCUGAGGUACGAAAGCGUGGGGAGCAAACAGG
rnacentral:rRNA from 1 species